rnacentral:rRNA from 1 species
GGGCCCGCACAAGCAGCGGAGCAUGUGGUUUAAUUCGACGCAACGCGAAGAACCUUACCAGGUCUUGACAUCCAUUUAAAACUGUUGAAAGAUAGUGUCCCUUCGGGGGAAAUGAGACAGGUGGUGCAUGGUUGUCGUCAGCUCGUGUCGUGAGAUGUUGGGUUAAGUCCCGCAACGAGCGCAACCCUUAUCGAUAGUUACUAACGCGUUAAGGCGAGGACUCUAUUGAGACCGCCGGGGACAACUCGGAGGAAGGUGGGGACGACGUCAAAUCAUCAUGCCCCUUAUGACCUGGGCUACACACGUGCUACAAUGGCCGAUACAGAGAGAUGCAAGAGCGUAAGCUGGAGCGGAUCUCAAAAAAGCGGUCGAAGUUCGGAUUGUGGGCUGCAACCCGCCCACAUGAAGCAGGAGUUGCUAGUAAUCGCGGAUCAGCAUGCCGCGGUGAAUACGUUCCCGGGCCUU